UAAUUACACAGUUGUAUUUAUAUUAAGUACUGUUUAAUUACAUAAUUUGGUCUUGCAACUGCUUAGUAAAUGAGAGGUUAAGACUUAAAAGUUACUACACAACUGAUAGAAUAUCUUAGUCUAUAGGUCAUUGGAAUAAAUAGAUGCAUUAGAAUAAUUUAAGGUGUCAUGAAGGAAUUAUAUUUCUGACUUAUGGUGUGAGUUUCACUUUUGUAGAGAGUAAAACCAGCUGGCAUUUAAGUCAUGCACUGAUUUGUGUAAAAAAUCCUUAAGCUAUUUUAAGCAAUGGAAAGGAAGGGGGCAUCGUUGUUGGGCUGUGUUGAGGGCAUCAGUUGGCCUUAAUCCAGCUGUGCUGCAGAGAGUGCAGUUUUCAGGUCACUGAUAGAGCAGGAAACGAACAAACAAAACCUAGAAAUUUCUACAUGAGAAGUACUUGUGUGUGUUAGCUCUUUUAUUUAUGUUAUAGCCCAAAUACUGACUUUCCUAACAGUUAACUAAGUUGGCAGUUAUUCACCAUAAAACCUCUAACACAGCAUUAAUCGGACAAAAGCUUCAGAAGUCAUAAAAAAAAAAUCAGACAUGCACAAAAUUGUGAACACGUCAUCAAAGAGUUCAGAUAGCAAGUUAAAAACUCCUGCUUUAGAUUUGAAGAGUGGAACACUGUGCUCAGAAUAUUGAUUAAUUAACUAAUUCACAGCUUAUUAGGAAGUUAUAAGAAGUAUUGUUUAUAAUUAUCUUAUUUCCAAAAUAGAAAAGUCAUUUGCAAAUAUGGUCUAUAUGCCAUGAAAUAAGAUGAAAAAUAAAAAUUGAGAAGGUCAUCUAUAGGGAAAACAGAGAUGGAAAAAAGCAAAGUGAAGCAGGUCUACAGGGAGAAAAGUUGUAAUUAAAAGAAGAUGUUGAUGUGAUGAAAAAUGAGAUUCUUGGUACUGUGUUUAUUACAUAUAGCUCGUACUUCAUAGAAGCUGUUAUUUUAUUGUUUUGAAUAAAUUUACGUUUCAGUAUA